UACAGAGGAUGCAAGCGUUAUCCGGAAUGAUUGGGCGUAAAGCGUCUGUAGGUGGCUUUUUAAGUCCGCCGUCAAAUCCCAGGGCUCAACUCUGGACAGGCGGUGGAAACUACCAAGCUGGAGUACGGUAGGGGCAGAGGGAAUUUCCGGUGGAGCGGUGAAAUGCGCAGAUAUCGGGAGGAACACCGGUGGCGAAGGCGGCUCUCUGGGCCUGUCCUGACGCUCAGGCGCGAAAGCUAGGGGAGCAAACAGG
rnacentral:rRNA from 1 species